AUUGAACGCUGGCGGCAGGCCUAACACAUGCAAGUCGAGCGGAUGAGUGGAGCUUGCUCCAUGAUUCAGCGGCGGACGGGUGAGUAAUGCCUAGGAAUCUGCCUGGUAGUGGGGGACAACGUUUCGAAAGGAACGCUAAUACCGCAUACGUCCUACGGGAGAAAGCAGGGGACCUUCGGGCCUUGCGCUAUCAGAUGAGCCUAGGUCGGAUUAGCUAGUAGGUGAGGUAAUGGCUCACCUAGGCGACGAUCCGUAACUGGUCUGAGAGGAUGAUCAGUCACACUGGAACUGAGACACGGUCCAGACUCCUACGGGAGGCAGCAGUGGGGAAUAUUGGACAAUGGGCGAAAGCCUGAUCCAGCCAUGCCGCGUGUGUGAAGAAGGUCUUCGGAUUGUAAAGCACUUUAAGUUGGGAGGAAGAGCAGUAAGUUAAUACCUUGCUGUUUUGACGUUACCAACAGAAUAAGCACCGGCUAACUUCGUGCCAGCCGCCGCAGUAACAC
rnacentral:rRNA from 1 species